rnacentral:rRNA from 1 species
CGCUGGCGGCAGGCCUAACACAUGCAAGUCGGACGGUAGCACAGAGGAGCUUGCUCCUUGGGUGACGAGUGGCGGACGGGUGAGUAAUGUCUGGGGAUCUGCCCGAUAGAGGGGGAUAACCACUGGAAACGGUGGCUAAUACCGCAUAACGUCGCAAGACCAAAGAGGGGGACCUUCGGGCCUCUCACUAUCGGAUGAACCCAGAUGGGAUUAGCUAGUAGGCGGGGUAAUGGCCCACCUAGGCGACGAUCCCUAGCUGGUCUGAGAGGAUGACCAGCCACACUGGAACUGAGACACGGUCCAGACUCCUACGGGAGGCAGCAGUGGGGAAUAUUGCACAAUGGGCGCAAGCCUGAUGCAGCCAUGCCGCGUGUAUGAAGAAGGCCUUCGGGUUGUAAAGUACUUUCAGCGGGGAGGAAGGCGAUAGGGUUAAUAACUCUGUCGAUUGACGUUACCCGCAGAAGAAGCACCGGCU